UCCAUCUGCACAUGACGUGAGAGACAGGCGUGGAGGCGGGCGAGCUAGCCGCGGCGGCGGCGUCUCGGCGCGUCUCCCUGCCCUCCGGCGGCAACGACUCCGCGCGCCGCGCUCCAGAGCAGCUCUCCCGUCAGCAGGCGGCGAGCUCUUUGACCGCCAGCGCCUGGUGCUACUGCUGCUGCUGACCACCACGAGCGGGGACGGGGUGCUGCUCCCGGCGCUGCUGGUGCCGCCGGAGGAGGAGAGGGCGAGGUGGGAGCGCAGGCUGGGCGUGGGGCUGGGGCUGAAGCUGCCGCCGCCGGUGCUGCUACGGCGCUUCUUGCGGGCCUCGAGGGAUUCGAGCAGUGGCGGAAUGUGGAAUCUAAAGGGGGACCAGUUGAACUGAAACUAGUCGUGCACACUGCGCACCUCAUCGUUGGUUGCAGCAGCACAGGGCAGACAAUAGCUGACAAGCAUAUGCAUGCAGCAGCCCAGCUUCGCCGCCACUGUGGUCCGCCACUGGAUUCGAGCACCUGCUGCCUGCUGUGUGGUAGAUCGAUGGGUCAACUGAUCGAGAUGGUCGAUGUGAUGUAGCUACCUGCAAACACAACAACGACACUGCUGGAA